rnacentral:rRNA from 1 species
GGAAACAUGUCUAGCUUGCUAGAUGAUGUCGAGUGGCGGACGGGUGAGUAAUACUUAGGAACAUGCCUUUGGGUGGGGGAUAACUAUUGGAAACGAUAGCUAAUACCGCAUAAUGUCUACGGACCAAAGGGGGGGAUCUUCGGACCUCCCGCCAUUUGAUUAGCCCAAGUGAGAUUAGCUAGUUGGUAAGGUAAUGGCUUACCAAGGCGACGAUCUCUAGCUGGUUUGAGAGGAUGAUCAGCCACACUGGGACUGAGACACGGCCCAGACUCCUACGGGAGGCAGCAGUGGGGAAUAUUGCACAAUGGGCGAAAGCCUGAUGCAGCCAUGCCGCGUGUGUGAAGAAGGCCUUCGGGUUGUAAAGCACUUUCAGUAAGGAGGAAAGGGUAGUCGUUAAUAGCGGCUAUCUGUGACGUUACUUACAGAAGAAGCACCGGCUAACUUCGUGCCAGCAGCCGCGGUAAUACGAGGGGUGCAAGCGUUAAUCGGAAUUACUGGGCGUAAAGCGUUCGUAGGCGGUUGAAUAAGCAAGAUGUGAAAGCCCAGGGCUCAACCUUGGAACUGCAUUUUGAACUGUUCAACUAGAGUACUGUAGAGGGUGGUGGAAUUUCCAGUGUA